AAGUCGUAACAAGGUUUCCGUAGGUGAACCUGCGGAAGGAUCAUUAUCACGUUAUCCACGUAUAAACCAAAUUAUAAAUGUGAACUGUUAUUUACGCCUUUGGAGAAAAAUCAAAGCUAUCAGUAGAUUGUGCUCGAUACUGGAUUUGUUCAUUAUUAUAGGUUUUGAACAACUGGUAUCAUUUAUGAGUGCUUUCUAUUGUUUGAUUACAUUCCAAAGUGUAUUAACCUAUUAACUUAUUAACCAAUUGAACCGUAACAUAGUUAAAUUCUUAUUGUCUUGAACUGAAUUGUUUCUUACUCUUUUUCAUUUAUUUGAUUGGAGAAGAAAUUCGAUUUUACGAAACAAUAAAAUAUAACUCUUAGCAACGGAUAUCUUGGUUCUCGUAACGAUGAAGAACGCAAC
rnacentral:misc_RNA from 1 species